rnacentral:rRNA from 1 species
UGGGGAAUAUUGCACAAUGGGGGAAACCCGUGAUGCAGCGACGCCGCGUGAGCGAGGAAGUAUUUCGGUAUGUAAAGCUCUAUCAGCAGGGAAGAAAAUGACGGUACCUGACUAAGAAGCCCCGGCUAACUACGUGCC